rnacentral:misc_RNA from 1 species
GUUUUCUUUUGAUUUCCAAUAAUACAUGGACCAGUAUAACCUGAUGCUCAUAAGGGAAGUGUCAUUUUCUCUUCUUCUUCCCUGAAAAGGUUACAGAAAUAGCACUAGUCAUAAUCUCAGCGGUGAUAGUAGCAAUGUGCAUAUUAGUGCUCCUUUCUCUUACACAACUGUCUGUUAUACUACAAAAGAUUCAAGGCUCCA